rnacentral:rRNA from 1 species
UACGGAGGUGGCAAGCGUUGCUCGGAAUCACUGGGCGUAAAGGGCGCGUAGGCGGGGAGGUAAGUCGGGCGUGAAAUCCCUCGGCCCAACCGAGGAACUGCGCCCGAGACUGCUUCUCUUGAGUCCCGGAGAGGAAGAUGGAAUUCCCGGUGUAGCGGUGAAAUGUGUAGAGAUCGGGAGGAACACCGGUGGCGAAGGCGGUCUUCUGGACGGUGACUGACGCUGAGGCGCGAAAGCGUGGGGAGCAAACGGG